UAGCUCAGUGGCAGAGUGCUUGCCUUGCAUGCAUGAGGCCCUGGGUUCGAUUCCUCAG
rnacentral:tRNA from 1 species